CGGAGAGGGCGCAUGAGAAACGGCUACCACUUCUAAGGAAGGCAGCAGGCGCGCAAAUUACCCAAUCCUGACUCAGGGAGGUAGUGACAAGAAAUAACAAUAAACCGGCUUAUGCCGGUUUAAUUGGAAUGAGUACAAUUUAAAUAUCUUAACGAGGAACAAUUGGAGGGCAAGUCUGGUGCCAGCAGCCGCGGUAAUUCCAGCUCCAAUAGCGUAUACUAAAGUUGUUGCAGUUAAAAAGCUCGUAGUUGGAUUUCUGCGGGGACGGAGCGGCCGGACGCAACUUGCGUCUCGAGCUAGCGCUUUCCCCGCAUCCUGCCGCGAACCGUGCUACCAUUAGUUUGGUGGCGCUGGGGAUCGGCUCGAUUACUUUGAGAAAAAUAGAGUGUUCAAAGCAGGCCACACGCCUUGAAUAAGUUAGCAUGGAAUAAUGACUAAGGACUUCGGUUCUAUUUUGUUGGUGUUCGGGACUGAAGUAAUGAUUGAUAGGGACAGUUGGGGCGGUCUGUAUUCCAAAGCGAGAGGUAAAAUUCUUAGACCUUCGGAAGACAAACAGCUGCGAAAGCGUUCCGCAAGGAUGUUCCCUUUGAUCAAGAACGAAAGUUGGGGGAUCGAAGACGAUCAGAUACCGUCGUAGUCUCAACUAUAAACUAUACCGGCUAGGGAUCGGCCAACGUUUAAUUAUUCGACUUGGUCGGCACCUUAUGAGAAAUCAAAGCAUCUGGGUUCCGGGGGGAGUAUGGUCGCAAGGCUGAAACUUAAAGGAAUUGACGGAGGGGCACCACCAGCCGUGGAGCCUGUGGCUUAAUUUGACUCAACACGGGAAGACUUACCAGGUCCAGACAUAGGAAGGAUUGACAGAUUGAUAGCUCUUUCUUGAUUCUGUGGGUGGUGGUGCAUGGCCGUUUUUAGUUGGUGGAGUGAUUUGUCUGCUUAAUUGCGUUAACGAACGAGACCCCAGCCUGCUAAAUAGCGCGGCUGAGCUUUGCUCGGUGCGAGCUUCUUAGAGGGACCAUGAUGCGCGAUAGCACAAGGAAGUUUGGGGCAACAACAGGUCUGUGAUGCCCUUAGAUGUUCUGGGCCGCACACGGGCUACACUGGCGCCUGCAACGAGCAUAUCAGCUGGCCCGAGAGGGUCUUGGCUAAUCUUUUGAACCGGCGCCGUGCUUGGGAUUGACCUUUGCAAUUGUUGGUCAUGCAACGAGGAAUGCCUUGUAAACGCGAGUCAUCAGCUCGCAUUGAAUACGUCCCUGCCCUUUGUACACACCGCCCGUCGCUCCUACCGAUGAAUGUUCCGAUGAAAUUUUCGGAGAGCGCCAGAGAACGGGGCUCCGCCUUGCAGAUCUGGAGGCUCAAAGUCACUUAAAUCUGAACAUUUCGAGGAAGGAGAAGUCGUAACAAGGUAACC
rnacentral:rRNA from 1 species